rfam:Myotis davidii contig97583, whole genome shotgun sequence.
UUGGUGGCUCAGUGGUUAGAGCAUUUGGCCUUAGCACCAAGGGAUCGCAGGUUCAAAUCCUGGCCAA